rnacentral:lncRNA from 1 species
CUCCCUCCCUCCUUCCUUCCUUCCCUCCCUCCCUCCCUCCCUCCCUUCCUUCCUUGCAUCCUUCCCUCCCUCCUGCUUCCUUUCUUUUUUUUUGAGACAGGGCCUUGGAAUGUCAGGCAGGCUGGAGUGCAGUAGCACAAUUUCAGCUCACUGCAGCCUAGAGCUCCUGGGCUCAAGAGAUCCUCCUGUCUCCACCUUCCAGUUGCUGGGAUUUCAGGGAUGUUGUGUUCAGGCAUGUUGUGUUAGGGCCCAUCCAAAUUGAGUGUAACCUUAUCUUAACUUGAUAACAUAUGCAAAGGCCCUAUUUACAAAUAAGAUCACAUUCACAGAAACUGGAGAGUUAUGGCAUGAACAUAUCUUCUGGGGGAUGCAGUUCAACUCAUAACAAUAGCAUAAUGUAAUCAUAUCUUCUGCCAAGUUGUAAUGAUUGUUUAUUAUAAAUCCCUGCUACCCAGUGGUAAGCCUAAGAUCCAGAUAUGAAUGCUAUUCUAUUCCAAGUUCAUAAAUGAGGUACGGUAUGAUAAUGAUAAUCAUUAAGAUUAUUAUUGAUAAUAUUGCUAUUCCUCUCAUUUCUGUUCGUGUGUGAAUAGUGGAAGUCUACAGUAAUAGGGAAACCUGAUUCCCCUCACUUGGCGGUAACUCUCCGAUGAUGGCAUUUUAAAAAAUACAUAUCCUUAUUACUCUUUACAAAACAGAUCUAAAACACCAUUACAGAUUGCACACUUAUCCAUUCACUUCUUUAGUGUAGGGGUGUUCAGUUAAUCUAGAGUUCAGAUUUCUCUUCUAGUCUAAAACUUACUCUAAGUAAAUAGCAAACUCAUGCAUAGACAUCAAUUCUAUAGGGAGUACCAUCAGCAUUUUUAAGGGAUCAAGACUGAAACACACCAUCUCAGCUGGCUUAGGAAGCAAUUGAAUGGGUGUUGGACUCAUCUUUCACAGAAGAAUGACAAAGAUUACAGACAUUCAACUAUCUUCUAGAAGAAGACAAUUUGCUUAAUUUAUUGCCUUGGAAUUUGAGCUCAGGAGUUCAAGACCAGCGUGAGCAACAUGGUGAAACCCAGUCUUUACAAAAAGUUCAAAAAUUAUCCAGGCGUGGUGGUGGGUGCCUGUAGUCCCAGCUACUCUGGAGCCUGAGGCACGAGAAUCGCUUGAAGUGGGGAGGUGGAGGCUGCAGUGAGCAGAGAUUGUGCCACUGCACUCCAGCCUGGGUGACACAGCCAGACCCUGUCUCAAAAUGUAAAAUAAAAUGAAGUAAAUAUGAUUAGUAUGUUUCAGUACUUAAAGAGUGUUCUGAAAAUAUGAGCAAGAAAUAAAAGACUAA